UAAUUUUGCUCGAUAGGUAUAGACUUUUUUCUGCUUCACUUUUUGCACACUCUUUGCGUUCCUUUAUACUAGGGCCUUUAAGUUCAACUAGCGAAUCAAAUUCGUUAGUUGGACAAGGCUGUGGACCAACCAGCGAAUCAUGACUGUAUAGCGAAUUUUAUCAGUACAAGGAAUGAAGGAAAGGAGUCACAAAAAUUUUAACCGAAGUGUUUAUUUACACAUAAUUGUUAUGAAAGUUAUCGGAUACAGAUACGGAUUACUGAACUAGUAAUCGUGCAGAAAUGGGUGCAUCAACUGUAUACCACGAAAAGCAAAUUAAAGAGUUGUGUGCCCUCCACGCAUUGAAUAAUUUAUUCCAAGAUAGGGAUUGUUACAAUAAGGUCCAGCUUGAUGAAAUAUGUCGUAAUUUGGCUCCCAACGACUAUAUAAAUCCUCACAGAUCAAUUCUCGGUCUCGGAAAUUACGAUAUAAACGUCAUUAUUACGGCACUACAACUGAAAAAUUGCGAAGCUAUUUGGUUCGAUAAACGAAAAGACCCUUCUUGCAUCGACACAUCUAACAUAGUUGGUUUUAUAUUAAACGUACCAUCAAAUUAUAAGGUAGGCUUUGUUCGACUACCACUCCAGAGAAGACACUGGAUUACCGUGAAGAGUAUUAAUGGUGAAUACUGGAACUUGGAUUCCAAGCUCGACACUCCACAACUUAUCGGAAAUGAAUCCAAAAACAUCAGCUAUCUCCAGUUUCCCGAGAGUUCGCCGACCAGUUGCUUUCAAACUGAAGAAAAAACUACAGUUUAACUUCACCAGGCACAAUCAUCAGAAUGGGAUGCAGGAAAAUAUUAACCCAGAAUGGUUUAAUUUUACCGUCCAGUAACAUUUUUCAAAUGAUAAUCGUUUAUGCCCAAAAGGUAUUUGUGAGGAUCUACGAAUUCGGUUUUUGUGGAAUAAUUCGACCAAGGGCUAUGAUGUAGCAGCGGUGGAGAGUAAGUCCAAUCAUACGGCUUCAUCCCACCCUGGCAGCAGAUGAGCGCUGGCGAAUGUUCUCAGCCACCUGGAGGAGGAGGUUUAGCGCGGAAGAAAUAGGUCUGUUCCAGUACCAGGAGAAACUGGAAGUACUCCGGAGAAAAUCGUUCCUGUACUCUCUUCUUCUCUUUUUUCUUCUUCUGGUAGCAAACCGGAGUAAAAAGGAUCAAGGAUUUUUUGUUCCUAUUUACUCCGGAGUGACUUCCGUGUACUGGAACAAAACUAAUGUUACCAGACUUCGCCGAUCUAGUGUCUGGACUUUUUUGAUAAUCUCAUAGAGAUUGGGUGUGCAGAUGGAUGGUUGGAGUUCUGGGAGGGAACGACUGGUAACUUUAAGGGUAUAUAUGAAGCCGAAAACACCCACAACAAUGGGGUAAUUAACAUAAAGCUCGCCGGUGACAAAGUGAUAGUCGCACGGUUGAGUGGACGAAUCGAUUUUCUGAGACUGGAAACGUACACGUAAGGUUGUCCGAUCGAUUGGGGAUUUACGUCUGCAUAUGGGCGAACCCACGUACGCACCGGUUCGGCAGGAAGCAUUGGUUUAUUUCAGCAAUCCGCCGGCUCAAAUCCGUCCACAACGUUGCCAGCUCAACAUCACGCAUCCGAGGAGGAGCUUCGAUGUAUCCUGGGGUUUCACCAGCACCCCUUCACCGCGGCAUCCAAAUAAAAAUAAGUCAUACUCCUAAUGAACUAAUAUUUAUUAAAACAUUUACUAAAUAAAAACAUAGACCUGAUAGUUCGUUUGCAAAAAAAAAACACAGAAGCACAGUAAGUUGGUGUUAAAGCUCUAUCUUUGAUCCUAGUGCUGCAGGAUUAGGCCAACAUUUAUACUAUUUUUAUUCAAUCAACUUCAAGGAAAAAAUAUAACGUGAACAGUGUGGAUUUCUGAAAUUGGUAAUUGUUCCGAAUCACACUCGGCCUGGCCUUGGGUACAAGAUAACUGCUUGAUCUCCCACGAGCAUGGUCCUGCCGGAGUGUUUGCCUCGCCUGAUACCGGGGCAGCCU